AAUAAUUCAAAAGUCCAAACUUCAAGUCCAUUUACAACAUGUGUAGCCCAAAAUUAAAACCAGACCCAUUACACAUCAAUUAACCCAAACCCACUACCUAGAUUUUAGCCCAAAUCAAAACCCCAUUAGCCCAUUACCUAAACUAACCCUAAUAGCCCACUUGCUUAAAAUUUUCAGCAAACCCUAGCCACCAAGUUUUCAGCCGCCACUCCCCCUCAGCCUUGGCCAUCACGCGCGCCACCACCAUCGCUCAGGGCAUCAACCAUCGGCCUUCCAUACGUCUGACACCUGCAAGACGAAACUAACACGCAAAAUACAAGAAAAAAAGAAGAAAAAAACAAAAAUAAUAGCAGACAACAAGCAAAAAAAAAAAACAAAAAAUGAAUCUAUGUAAUUUGGUUAUAAAAGCCGAAACAUCCCUUUGUAGUUUUUUUUACGAACACUAGCAAUCGAAAAGCAAGAAUACAAAAAAAAGGUUGAUUUCGAUUUCUAUUUUCGUGUUACAAAAAAAAGGUUGAUUUCGAUUUCUAUUUUCGUGUCUUUUCGUUUUAUACUUUUAUUUUUUUAUGUAAAUCUACUCUAAACGAAAAUAAAAAGAAGAAACUUACCGGAUUUAUCUCGUGGCCGCAUUGUCGGAGUUCUCAUCUCCGCCGCCGUGGUCGUUUCCUAAAAGGGAAGAGAGGGACUUUUUCCUUUUUAUUUUCGGAGUUUUGAGAACGUGGCCUUUCAGGUUCACCUGGAAUGGGACUAAAGAGUCCCUUUCGCGCAACUCCAGCCUUUGGCCCCGACGGCAGCACGGGGGACUGCUGAGGGUUCCUUCGGUCGGAGACAGAGGAGAGGGAGAGAGAGUUUAAAAGUUUUUUUUUUAGUUGAAGACUAAAAUGAAAUUUUAAAAAAAAAAAUCGGCCUUAAGUAAUAAGAAAUAAACAGCGCCUUUUUGGAGUGGGAGUCCAGGUGCCAAAACGGCACCGUUUUGGACCACCCACGCGCGACCCGACCCGUACCCAUAGAGGAUCCGCGCCUUUUUGACCAUUGGUCUAUUUGCGCAGUGGGUCCUCCGCUUUUGUAGCGUGUCUCAUCAGGGUCCCUUUUGAUUUUUUUAAACUUCUGCCACAUGAUUUUGUCUCCUCUCUCACUUUAGUCCUCCGUCCAUUUGAGGAAACUGGCCAUUGAAACGUUGCGCAUCAAAAGGCCUAGGAUAUUUGCUCUUUCGAGCCUUGGUCUUUUGUGUGUUUUUUUAAUAUAGUCCCUGGUAGCUUUUGGUAUUUACGAUUAUGCCUCAUUUUUUAUUUACUGCCUUGCAAAGCAGUCCUAGACACAUUAACUUCAUGUUUAUUUUUAAUUUGCUUCUGUUUAUUUAUUUAUUUUUAUUUUCUUUUUGUUUUUAUUUUACUCUUUAAACUGUUUUAUAUUUUAUUUAUUUUAUUGUUUCAUAUAUAUACCAGUUCUCUUAAAACUGUUUUAUGUAUCAUUCAUUUAAAAUUGAUCUAUAGUUUUCAUUUCAAAUUGUUUUGUUGUAUAUUAUUUUAGAUUAUGAGUAUAUAUAUUUCCUUAAUUAGUUACUUUACUAUAUAUUAUUUCUAAUUAUUUUAUAUGUUAUUUAUUUUAUGUUUUAUGUAUAUGUUAUUUUAUUUUAAACUUUUACAUAUCAUAUUUUAAAUUCACAUAUUAAGUAGUUUAAACUAUUUUAUGUGUUAUUUAUCUAAAAUUUAUAUAUAUAUGGUUUAUUUCAAAUCGUAUUAUUAUUUACUUUAAGUUUAUAUAUAUUAUUUACUUGAGGCUUUUUAUUAUUUAUUCGUUUUGAAUUAUUCUUAUACACUAUUUUUAAAAAAAAUACUAUUUACUUGAAAUUGCUUGAUAUUGUUUUAUUUUUAUUUCAUUUUCUUUGAUUAUCAAUAUUGGACUUUAAAUGACGUAUGUUACGUGAUUAUUAUCAUUGUGUGUAUUAUAUUUAGCCUAUUCGUAUUUUCAUUAUUGUCAUUCGCUUGUAUUCAUGUUGUAUUAGUCCACACUCCAUGUUAUAUUUUUGUUUUAUCUAGCCUAAGUCAUAUCAUACGUUGAUUCAACAUAUUUAUCCAACUUGAAUCACUUGUUUUUUUAAUCCAAACAAAUAACACGUCGAUUAAAUAUCAAAUUCGCUACUAUUCCAAACAAAAAUUUCAAAAUAAGGCAAUGUUUCGCAUUUUGGAACAUCGAGGAAUUGUGCCCUAACUUACGGGGUUUCAGUUUUCUCAUUGAUUCUAAAUAGCCAAAUACCCUUUCGAGUUUUAAAAUACACGGAUUUCUAAUCAAAAUUAAAGACAAACUUGCGCUCGAGAGUUUAUGGUAUCGUGUCCUAACUUACGGGAUGUGAUACUCCGAUAUCUCGAGACGAGGAAAUCUUUAGCAAUCUUUUUGAUCUAAUUCAAGCAUUUUUUUUAAAAUCGAUGUUAAUAAAAAAGGAUCGUAUUUCAAAUCCAUUCCCGAUUUUCAAUUUUCGACAUUAAGACACUAACUAAUCAAUUCGGUACCAAUUUUUGGGCGUGUCGGGGGUGCUAAUCCUUCCUCGCACGUAACUGACUCCCGAAGUUGUUCUCUUGAAAUUCGUAGACCAAAAUGCCGUUUUAGUAAACUAAAAUUGUUUUAUUAAAACAAAGGUGAUCCGAACACACCUAAUAAAGAUUGGUGGCGACUCCCAUUUUAAUUUUUGCUUUCAAACAAAGUCGAUUCCCGUUUUUAAAAAAAUGGUUUUGACAGCUUGGCGACUCCACUAGGGACGUUGAGAGUCAAGCCAUAAAUUGAUUAUUUUUGUCCUUUGUCGAAAUUUGAAAAUCUGCUUUAAACUUACGAUCAUUUCAUUACACGUCAUUUUUGUGUUUUUUUGUCUUUAUAUUUGAUUGGCUUCUGGUUUGAUUCUCUUAGUAUAUUUUUGUGUAUCAUACUGCAUUAUCGGUUAAUUUUACCCUCUUAAUUGGAAGUGAGAAAUUACUCCUUUGUGAGGUCUUCACCUCCGUAUAGGAUAGUGGAUCGCUUUAGGGAUACAUCCGUACCUGCGUCUUCGUGAGAUUUUCAUCUCCGUAUAGUCGUAGGGAAAUGUAUUCCCCUGAACCGAACUCGGUCUGUAUGAGCCUAUAAUGGGUGAGGAUCGAGGAAUCUGCUGUUUCAGGUACCUUUACUUUAGAACCGAACCACAUGUAAUGAGCCCUAAGAGCCUACCUUAGGUGGAACUACACCAAACCCUAGUGGUUACCCAAUUAGAUGCUUGAUUAUUUUCAGUUUGCAUUGAGUUCUAUUCUUUGUUUUAAUACUAACUUGUUGUGUUUUGCUGUUAUUGCAUGGCAUCUCAUCAUCAAAGGGUGUUGAUUCACGUUCGGUUACUAGAUAGGAGAGUUUAGCAUGGAAAAAGGGUUUCUUGAUAGAGUGGAGGAUAACGCGGCCGUCCGAGUGUGGUCUGAAAGGACAUAGCAAGAGAAAGGUGAUAGUUUGGCCGAGAGAUACGAGUCAGAGUUGUGGGAUUUCACUUGCAUCAGUGUGACUCAAAACGACCUACAAGAAUUAAGAGAUAUAUAGAAUAAUUGGAAUAGCGAGGUUAAGCAACUUUUUUACUGUAACUACAGCGACGUACCCUAUUUGCUCGAUGUAAAGGUGGACAAGUACUUGUUUCGAGCCCUCGCGCAGUUUUAGAACCCCGCUUAUAGUUGCUUCACCUUCGGAGGAGUCGAUUCAGUACCUACUGUGGAGGAAUACAUGGCGUUACUUAAUUGCCCGAAGGUUCAAGCCGACAGGGCCUAUUCAAAACCUGUCAACGUCCCUCCCUUUUUGAAGAAAUUGAUGAAUAUCACGGGGAUAAGCGAGCAAUGGAUUACAGCUCGUAUCAAGCAGAAAGGGGAUAGUAAGUGUAUUCCUUAGAGAAAUUUGAGGGACUUGAUCCUUGCACACCAGAAUUCGAAGAAAAGGGUUGAUGUUUUUACCUUAAGCCUCUACGGUUUGAUCAUCUUUCCUAAGGCACUAGGACACAUAGAUAAAUCUGUCUCAGAUUUAUUCGAUCGACUUGAUAAAGGCACCACACCCAUCCCAGCAAUCCUAGCAGAAACUUUCAGAUCCUUGAAUGCAUGUCGGAGAGGGGGCGAGGAAAGAUUUAUUGGUUGUGCACAGCUUCUUUUAGCUUGGUUCCAUAACCAUUUUUGGAAGGUGGAAAAGGUCUUCUAUCGGGUUUUCUCCAAGGACUAUUCCCCAUUGAGAGAAUUAGUGGCUACAUCGAGGCGAGACGAUAUCUCAGAGGAGAAAUAGAUAACUAUUCUCCAGAAUUUGCGAGUCGAAGAUGUUGAAUGGAGGGCUCCAUGGUUGAUCCCCGAUGAGAUCUUAUAUCGGUGCGGUGAUUUUGACUGGGUCCCUCUGGCUGGAAUAUGGGGAGCCGUUGGAUACAUUCCACUUCUGGUGUUAAGACAGUAUCGAUCAAGGUAUUUUAUACCGGCGACACAAGGGUUGGCUCAAUGUGAGUUCCCUUAUAAAGACAACAAUUAUAAGAAGAAGCUUCGUGAGAUAUCAGAUGCUUGGAACCAAACACGAAGAAUAAAAGAAUUCACUACGGGCCCGAUAACGACUCUCGAGUAUGAUUGGUGGUGGGGUAAGAGAGUCAAUGACAAUAUCCCUAUGCCGAAUCAAGGGAAUACUCACCCGAUAGAGGAGCAUUUACGAGUCAUCCUGUCUGAGUUAGAGAUCACUAAGCAAGACUUCGAGAAAAGGAACUCAGAGUUGGGGAAGAAGAUAGAGCAGCUAGAAGAAGAGAAAAUGAAGUUGGGAUUAGACGUCGAUAUCCACAAGCUAGAGGCUGAGAAGUUAAGGAAAGGAAAAAACAAGGCCGAGGAAGAUUUGGAUAGUCUGAAAACUGAUUACAAGAAGCUACGUAUGUCGAUAAGAACUGUCGGUUUAGUUAAAACAUCGGAGCAAUGGCGUCAAAGGAUUAAAGAGGAAAAGACAAGAGCCGACCAUUGGGAGAAAAGGUUUCAAGAUGCCUGAGUACAAGAGGACACUCUGAAAAAGAGUUUGUUAGAAAGCCAAAAUGAAAAGGAGAAGUUACGAGCUCGAGUGGCUGAAUUGGAAAGAUCACUACAUCAACAUCGUAGCCGUAAUUCGGUAAUUGAGCUGAAGGCUAGUUUGAGCAGGAUCGAAGAGUUGAAAGGGAAAGUAGAGGAACUCGAGACUACGCUACGAGAUAGAAAAAUUCGAGUGGAACUUCUUAAAGAAAACAACGACCAUUGCAGGGAACAGCUUCACCACUCUCAAUACCAGAUUAGAAAUAGAGACUAUGUCAUGGGCGAAGCUGUGGCUCAAGUUCGGGAGGUAGCCGAUCACUUGCAAACCUUGGCAGUUCAGGCUGAUGUAUUGAGCUGAAAAUACUAGUUGAAAUCAGAUCGAGGCCGAAGCUUAGCUUGGCUUUUUAGAAAGGUUAAGGCUUUGGGCAUUAGGGCAAAGUCGUAUAUGUAAUCAUCUGUUCUAUAUAAAGAAAAUUUUCUUUUAGUAAAGUUCUUCUAAUGAAAUUGAAUCAGAAUCAACGCCUCUUUUUACAUUCAUUCAUUUGCAUUACAUUUCAUCAUAUGCAUUAAAUUUCACGAAAAGACCCUGAUUAAACAAAAUUAUUUCAGUUAAUCUGGAAACCAACAAGAAUUAACCAACCGAAUGCAACUACAAUACCUAUCGUAAAACCAAAGCAAUGGAUCAGAGAUUAGAAAGGAUAGAACAAAUGCAAAGGGAUAUGCAAGAGCAAUUACAAGCACAGAUGCAAGAGCAACUGGCUAAAAUACAACAAGAUAUGAGGGAAAAAAUGGAAGAAUCCCAAAAUAAUAUGAUAGGCCAGUUGGCGCAGUUGCUGGCUAGAGAACGCGAAAAAGGGAAGAGCACUAUAGGGAAUGAUAAUGAAGACCCUAUCUAUCCUCUAGGCUUUGCUCCGGUAAACACUUAACCACAACCGGAGGUGCACCGACGAACGAUAUCUGUCACUAUUAGACCCCAGCAAUACCAGACCGGUGCCUCAACAUCGAUGAAUGUUCCUAUAGGUUCGAGCUCUAAUCUCGGGGAUAAUCCAGCUAAUCCAUUUGUCCCGAACCUUGAUGAUAUGGCAGAAAUGGAGAAAGGAAAAGUAGACCUGGCAAAACAACUCGAUGGCCGGUGUAAAUGGCUUGAAGAAAAAUUCAAAACAAAAGAGACUACUGAUUAUCGUUUCGAGAUCGAUGCUAAGGAUUUAAGCUUGGUCCCAGAUCUGGUGCUCUCACUAAAAUUUAAAACCCCGGAGUUUGAAAAAUACAACGGGGCUAGCUGCCCUGAAGCUCACAUAACAAUGUUCUGUCGAAGGAUGACAGGGUAUGUUAACAACGAUCAGCUGUUGAUCCACUGUUUCCAAGACAGUCUGAUCGGAUCUGCGGCCAAGUGGUAUAACCAGCUCAGCCGUGCCCAAAUUGGUUCAUAGAAUGACUUGGCUCAGACUUUCAUGAAACGAUACAGUCACAUGACAGACAUAGCACUCGACAGAAUUACUCUGCAAAAUAUGGAAACGAAGCCAAGUGAGAGCUUCAGACAGUAUGCCCAACGAUGGAAGGAAAUACAAUGUAGGUCUAACCACCCCUCUUGGAGAAGGAAACGACCAUGCUUUUUAUCAAUACCCUGAAGGCCUCAUUCAUUAACCACAUGUUAGGAAGCGUUACUAAGAGCUUCUCGGACAUAGUAAUGUCUGGGGAGAUGAUAGAAAAAGUGAUAAGAUGUGGGAAAAUUGAAGGGGGAGAGAGUGCCAAGAGAUCAGCUCCAAGAAGGAAAGAAAAUGAGGUGAACAAUGCGAGUGUAUACAAUAAGGGUUAUUCCAAGCCAGUCACAGUAAGCCAGGCGAGGGCGGUGACUACUAGCCAUCAGGGCUCCGCAAGACAAGAUUCCAACCCAAGGCCUAACACGAAAAGAGUCCAGUUCACGCCAAUCCCAAUGACCUAUAGAGAGCUUUACUAGAAUCUGUUCGAUGCGCAUGUAGUGUUCCAUUUUACCUGAAACCCAUGCAACCUUCAUUUCCUAAGUGGUAUGACGCAAACGCGCAAUGCGAAUACCAUGCAGGAAUCUCGGGACACACGAUUGAGAACUGCACUACUUUCAAAAAAAAUAGUCGAAAGUUUCAUAAAGAUGGGCAUUGUGAAGUUCGAUGAUCCCGCAUGACCUAAUGUGGCGGGAAAUCCAUUACCCAGUCAUUCAGACAAAGGGGUAAACGCGAUAGUUGAAAAUGGAGGGAGGCGAACCAAGAUGGAUGUAUCAGAGGUGAAGACUCCGUUGAGAUGGGUUUGGAAGAAGAUGAUAGAAGAAGGUUUAGUCACUCAAGAUUUAGGGGAGAAGCCCGAAUGAGCAAAGUACUACUGCGAAUUUCACAACGAAGAGGGUCAUGAGAUCCAAGAGUGCAAUAAAUUCAGGAUGCUGGUAUAAGGACUGAUGGAAAAUAAGGAGAUUGAAUUCUUUGAAUGCACCGAGGGCCCGAAGGGAGAAGAUGUGUGCACAUCAGAGCAAGGGCCAACCAACAAAGUCCAUGGGGUCAAUCACCCGAUCGUAAUUAUAUCCCGACCAAGAGUCAGUGAAGUCGGAGUACCAAUUACGCCAAAAGUCAUAAUCCAGAAGCCCGUUACUUUCCCUUAUAAAGAUAGCAAGAGGGUGCCUUGGAACUAUGACUGUAACGUGACAACCCCGGGAAGGGAGAACCCAGCUAGCACUUCAGAGAAAGGUCAAGACAAGGGUUUCUAUACACGCAGUGGAAGGCAUUAUACCCCUAACACAAAGGUAGAACCAGCUAAAGGAAAAUUCGUGGUAGUUGAACAAGAAAAAAAAAACAACCAGACCUGAAUCACCUGUCAAUGAGCCUGUGACUGAAAAAGAGGCUAAGGAAUUCUUAAAAUUCCUGAAGCACAGCGAGUACAGCAUUGUAGAACAGUUGCACAAACAGCCAGCUCGUAUAUCGGUACUAGCCUUGCUCUUAAGCUCAGAGACACACCGCAAUGCAUUGAUGAAAGUGUUAAAUGAAACAUAUGUUGCGGAUGAUAUCUCUGUCAACAAACUCGAUCUUCUAGCCAAUAACAUCAACACUGAUAAUUUUAUUUUCUUUAAUGAUGAUGAAAUACCACCGGAAGGUAUGGGAUCUACAAAGGCCUUGCAUAUCACCACUGGUUGCAAAGGGCACACACUGCCAGGGGUACUAAUUGAUAAUAGAUCGGCGUUGAAUGUCCUGCCUUUGUCCACAUUAAAUAGGUUUCUAGUAAACAGCUCUCACAUGAAGACAUGUCAAAACAUAGUGAGAGCAUUCGACGGUACUGAAAGAAAAGUGAUGGGAAGAAUCGAGAUACCUCCCUUGAUUGGUCCAAACACAUAUGAAGUGGACUUCUUAGUAAUGGACAUCAAGCCUUCGUACAAUUUCCUGUUGGGGGGACCAUGAAUUCACUCGGCGGGGGCAGUGCCGUCGUCACUACACCAAAAAUUGAAGUUGGUAACUAAGGGUAGGCUGGUAACGAUAAACACGGAGGAAGACAUCAUUGCAUCCGUUACCAGUGACGCACUAUACGUCGGUACGGACGAUGAGGCGAUAGAGUGUUCCUUUCGAUCACUAGAAUUUGUCAAUGCUACAUUUAUUAUCGAAGGAAACAAGAUCCUAAUACCCAAAAUAUCCAAAACUACAAGGAUGGGCCUGCGAUUGACGAUCAGCAAAGGAGCCCUGCCAGGAAGAGGACUUGGAAGAUGCCUCCAAGGAAGGAUCGAGUUACCAGUGCUAAGGGAAAAAUGAGACCGCUUUGGCUUAGGAUUUAAGCUAGAUGCGAAGCCAAAGAAGAAAGAGUUAGAGAAAAAGGUAAGAGAUGAGAAGAGCGCGUCUGCGCGGUGAGGAGGUCAAAUGGGAGCCGAUGACCUUUCCUUAUUUAUCUAGAACAUUCGUGUCAGGAAAGACUAUUUACUCCAAAGGAAGAUCGACAAGGAAAGUGUCUGCCGAAGAAAUAUUAAACAGUUUGAGCAUUAAUGCCAUAUCUGAAGGGAAAACUGAAAAGAAUUUAUCUAGAAUUCGCCCUUACAUCCUGGGAAGUGUUUUGAACAAUUGGACCGCAGAGGAGAUCCCUGUAACUUUUAGGAUUAACUCAGAGUAAUGUUCAAAACAAGCUUAUUGCUUUAGCCUAGGAGCAAUAAGAAUCCUUUUAUGAAAUAGGCAUAUGUCCAAAUAUUGUUAUUUCAAUAAAAAAUGCAUUUUUACGUAUCAUCUUGAGCAAAUAUUCUUUUAUUCUUUCUACUUUAUUCAUAAUCAUACCACACAAAUAAAAUAUCCUUAGAUUCUUUUGUUCUUUGGAUUUCUUUCUUCAUCCCUAUAACAGGUCUCCAGAUAUUAAUGAUAUGAGCAAUGUUGCUACUGACUCAGAGAUUUCUUUUGAGCAAGAUUUGUGUAUGGAGGAUAUUGAGGAUUUUGAAGAUGAUCGAAAUUGUAACCUAUCUCCUAAUUUGUUAAGGAUGGUAGAACAAGGGAGAAACAAAUCCUACCUCACAAAGAAUCGGUGGAAAUUGUUAGCUUAGGAGAAGGAAAAGAGGUGAAGAUUUGAGCUAGUAUCACUGCAGAAACAAAGUAAAACCUCAUCGAGUAACUCCAGGAAUUCAAGGAUGUCUUCACAUGAUCAUAUCAAGACAUGCCCGGAUUGAAUACUGAUAUCGUGUUACAUUGACUCCCCAUAAAGGAAGAAGCAUGCUAGUUCAACAGAAACUCCGAAGGAUGAGACCCGAUGUUUUGUUGAAGAUAAAAGAAGAGGUCAAGAAGCAAUUCGAUGCCCGUUUCUUACAAGUGGUCAAGUACUCAGAAUGGGUAGCCAAUAUAGUCCCGAUUCCUAAGAAAGAUGGGAAGGUAUGAAUGUGCGUGGACUAUCGAGAUUUGAACAAAGCCAGCCCAAAAGAUAACUUCUCGUUGCCUCACAUUGAUACAUUAGUGAAUAACACGGUAGGUUACUCACUUUUCUCCUUUAUGGACGGUUUCUCGGGAUACAACCAGAUAAAGAUGCAUCCCGAAGACAUGGAAAAGACUACAUUCGUGACCAUGUGGGGGACGUUUUGUUAUAAAGUGAUGCCGUUCGGACUAAAAAACGCAGGAGCAACAUAUCAGAGAGCCAUGGUAACUUUGUUCCAUGAUAUGAUACACAAUGAGAUCAAAGUUUACGUUGACGAUAUGAUUGCAAAAUCCAAAACAGAGAAGGAGUAUGUGCAAGCCUUGAGGAAACUAUUCUUGAGAUUAAGGAAGUUCUAAUUAAAGCUCAAUCCCGCAAAAUAUACCUUCGGGGCCAAGUCAGGAAAGUUGUUGGGAUUCGUAGUCAGUGAAAAAGGGAUUGAGAUUGACCCAGAUAAAGUCAAUACAAGAAUUACCACCGCCGCACACUCAAAAAGAAGUUCGAGGUUUCUUAGGAAGACUAAAUUUUAUCGCCCGUUUUAUCUCACAACUAACGGAGAAAUAUGACCCGAUAUUCUGUCUCCUUAAGAAGCACAAUCCAGGUGUAUGGGAUGAGGAAUGCCAGAAGACUUUUGAUAAGGUUAAGCAUUAUUUGUCCAAUGCCCCAGUACUGAUGUCACCUUGCCCGGAUAAACCACUGAUAUUGUACUUAGCAGUGUUUGAAAACUCCAUGGGAUGCGUACUAGGCCAACAUGACGAGUCAGGAAGAAAAGAAAAAGUAAUAUACUAUCUCAGUAAGAAAUUCACCGAAUGUGAGACAAGAUAUUCGUCGAUCAAAAAGUUGUGUUGUGCUUUGAUUUGGACAGCCUGAAGACUGAGACAAUAUAUGUUGUACCACACAACUUGGCUCAUCUAGAAACUAGAUCCUUUAAAGUACAUGAUAGAGUCAAAUGCUUUGAACGGAAGAAUGGCUCGUUGGCAAAUUUUGCUUUCUGAGUUUGACAUAGUCUACGUAAACCAAAAGGCUGUAAAGGGGAGUGCAAUAGCAGAUUUUCUAGCCUAUAGAGCUCUAGAAGAUUACGAGCCAUUGAGCUUUGACUUUUCGAAUGAGGAUCUAAUGUACGUUGCAACCAUGGAAGAAGACUCCCAAAAAGAACACCAUUGGAAGCUGAAUUUUGACAGAGCUUCCAAUGCCGUGGGGAACGAAAUGGGGCAGUCUUGGUAUCCCCAAACGGAGAUCAUUAUCCUUUCACCAGUAAAUUGGAUUUUGAUUGCACAAAUAAUAUGGCCGAAUACGAAGCAUGUAUCAUGGGAAUUUGUGUAGCCAUAGAACGUAAGAUUAAAGUGCUAGAGUAUAUGGGGAUUCUGUACUAGUGAUCUAUCAGCUUAAAGGUGAAUGGGAGACAAGAGACCCUAAGUUGAUCAAUUACUGAAGGCUGAUUCUUGAGUUAAUCGAGAAGUUUGACAAUAUCACUUUCUGCUACCUCCCACGAGAUGAAAACCAGAUGGCUGAUGCCUUGACAACCUUAGCUUCUAUGAUCAAAGUGAAUAAAUAAGAGGAUGUGAAGCCUAUCCAAAUGAAUAUUUAUGAGGCUCCGGCUCAUUGCUGCAACAUCGAAGAAAAAGAAGAGAAAGAUGAUCAUCCUUGGUAUCAGGAUAUUUUGCGGUAUGUGAGGAGUCGUGAAUACCCAGACCAAGCGACUAAGAAUGAUAAAAGGAUAUUAAGAAGGCUGGCUAGUGACUAUGUCUUGGAUUAAGAGAUCCUAUACAAAAGAAGGAAGGAUCAGGUACUCCUAAGAUGUGUAGACGCUGUUGAAGCUAAGCAAAUCCUAGAAGAGGUUCAUAAGGGUGUAUGUGGAACACAUGCUAAUGGUUUCACCAUGGCCAGACAGAUCAUGAGAUUCGGAUAUUAUUGGUCCACUAUGGAAGGAGAUUGUAUCAACUAUGCCAAGAAGUGCCAUAAAUGCCAAAUUUAUGGAGAUAAAAUUCAUGUACCUCUUUCACCCCUUCAUUUAAUGACUUCUCCAUGGCCUUUCUCCAUGUGGGGCAUGGAUGUCAUUGGGCUAAUCUCACCGAAGGCAUCUAAUGGACAUCAAUUCAUUUUUGUCGUCAUAGAUUAUUUCACCAAAUGGGUAGAGGCCACAUCUUACGCUAACGUCACAAAGUCAGUAGUUAGUAAGUUCUUAAAGAAAGAAAUCAUAUGUCGAUAUGGGAUGCCUGAGAUGAUCAUAUCAGACAAUGCAUUGAACUUGAACAACAGCUCAAUAGCAGAGAUCUGUAGCCAAUUCAGGAUCAAACACCACAAUUCGUCACCAUAUCGCCCAAAGAUGAAUAGUGCAGUGGAAACAGCCAACAAGAACAUCAAGAAGAUCAUAGGAAAAAUGACAGAGACCUAUAAAGAUUGGCACGAUAAAUUACCAUUUGCCCUUUAUGCCUACCGGACGUCAGUCAGAACCUCUACCGGGACAACGCCUUUUUUUUAGUUUAUGGAAUGAAGGCGGUUCUGCCUAUUGAGGUCGAGAUUCCCUCUCUACGUGUGCUGUCAGAACUAAAGUUAGAUGAAGCAGAAUGGAUUCAGUCUCGAUACGACCAGUUGAACUUAAUUGAAGAAAAGAGACUAAAGGCUAUCCGUCAUGGUCAAAUGUAUAAAAAGAGAAUGAUGCAGGCUUAUAAUAAGAAGGUUCGCCCUAAGGAAUUCCAUGAAGGAGACCUUGUUUUGAAAAAAAUCCUCCCCAUACAAAAGGACUUCAGAGGAAAAUGGAUGCCUAAUUGGGAGGGACCUUAUGUGGCAAAGAAGGCUUUCUAUGGAGGAACUCUGAUUUUAACCGAGAUGGAUGGUAAAAGCCUACCUAAUCCCAUGAAUUCCGAUUCGGUCAAGAGAUACUUUUCCAAAAAAAAAAGAAUGGAGAGGCCAAGGCGAAAACCCGUAAAAGGGCGCUUUGAGACCAAAAGGGUUUUGAAUUGAAAACCCAAGAAUGAGCAAUUCAAAUCGAAGUGGGGCAUUUAGUAGUAUUGUCUUCUCUAAAUUAAUAAGAAGGAAUGAUGCUACAUUUUGAGGCAUCGACAAAAUACUCUUGGUCUUCCAAACACAUACCUAGUUCAAAGGGUCCUCGAGAGGAUUUGCGCAACGAAGCUCAUGCUGCGAUAUCUGGAGUACCUAUUUUUAUCUCAUUCAUUUUGUAUUUUUGGCAGAAUGUGCUAUCUUGAUUAAUUUAUUAGUUCUCAUUUUGUAUCUUAGCAAAUUUGCUAUCUUGAUUACCCUAUUCAUUUUGAGCCUUGCUCUCAAUAAAAUUCUAUCUUGUCUACUGCGAUAAUCUUUUUCAAGCAUUUUUCGUUGAAAUAAUGAUUAAUGGACUAAUAAUAUUCAAAAAAAAGAGUUCUGCAUAUUACUUUGAAAUGCUUCUAAAUGAUACUAAGACCUGAAACAGGACUAACUAGUUUGAAAUACCCUAAAUUUAAGGGUUGGAAACAUUGGGGAAAGAAUAGCCCAAAUUGUGAUUAUUUCUUCGGGUUUCCUGUCAAAGGUACCAGUUGAAGAAAAGGACAGAGUAAUACGUCAAUGAUAAAACCUCGAUGAACAACGAGUAAUAUCAAAUUAAGCAUUAAAAAUAACAUUUUUGCAUUCAUGCAAACAUCAUUUAUACACAUCUAGCUAGGAGCAUCUGAUUCAUUCUGAUCAUGACAUCCUAAUCAUUUGGCAUAAAUAGGCACAUGAAACCGAUUUUACAGAUCAUGUCCCAAGAGGAUAGUGUAGCAACAUCGGUGAAUUUACAGACCUUGUCUCCCUGAAGUUGCAGUGGAACAGAUCGAAGACGGUAAAUAUUGUCUUCUUGAAGUUGCAGUGAAGCAGAUUUAAGCCACCACCCUAUCUUUCUAAGUUGUAGUGGAGUAGGCUAAAUAUUGUAGAUCUUGUCUCCCUAAAGUUGCAGUGGAGCAGAUCAAAGAUAGCAAAUCUUAUCUCUCUGAAGUUGCAGUAGAGCAGAUUAAGGCUAAAUCCUAUACCUCUGAAGUUACAGUAGGUCGGAUCAAAUCUACCAUGGUAAAUCUUAUCACUCUGAAGUUGCAGUAGAGCAUAUUAAAGCCAUUAACAUUAUCUCCCUGAAGAUGCAGUGGAGCAGUUUGAAAUUACCAAGUCUUAUCUCCCUGAAGUUGCAGUGGAAUAGACUGAAGAUAGCAAAUCUUAUCUUUUUAAAGUUGCAGUAGAGCAGAUUAAGGCUAUAAAUCCUAUACAUCUGAAGUUGCAGUGGGUCAAGUCAAGUCACCAUGGCGGAUCUUAUCUCCCUGAAUUUGCAGUGGAGCAGAUUGAAAUCGCAAACCCCAUCUCCCUGAAGAUGCAAUGGAGCAGGUUGAAAUUACCAAGUCUUAUCUCUUUAAAGUUCCAGCGGAGUAGAUCAAAACUACAAAUCUCUUCUCCCUGAAAUUACAUUGGAACAAAUCGUAGCAACAAUUCUUAUACCUCUGAAGAUGCAGAGGAUUGGAACGAGGCUAUUCGAAGAAUAGAAGAAGUCAAGAUUCGGCAAGACUAGGCAAAAUUGGCUCUUUUAAGGUUUUUGCUCUAUUCUCGUUACACGAAAAUGAGCAAAGAGGGGCAGCUGUAAUAGCCAAUUUGGCCCAAACCAAUAAAACCAAAAUAAACCCACCAAAUAAUUCAAAAGUCCAAACUUCAAGUCUAUUUACAACAUGUGUAGCCCAAAAUUAAAACCAGACCCAUUACACAUCAAUUAACCCAAACCCACUACCUAGAUUUUAGCCCAAAUCAAAGCCCCAUCAGCCCAUUACCUAAACUAACCCUAAUAGCCCACUUGCUUAAAAUUUUCAUCAAACCCUAGCCACCAAGUUUUCAGCCGCCACUCCCCCUCAGCCUUGGCCAUAAUGCGCGCCACCACCACCGCUUGGGGCUCCAACCACCGGCCUUCCACGCGUCUGACACGUGCAAGACGAAACUAACACGCAAAAUAGAAGAAACAAAGAAGAAAAAAACAAAAAUAAUAGCAGACAACAAGCAAAAAAAAAACAAAAAACGAAUCUAUGUAAUUCGGUUAUAAAAGCCGAAACAUCCAUUUGUAGUUUUUUUUACGAACACUAGCAAUCGAAAAGCAAGAAUACAAAAAAAAAGGUUGAUUUCGAUUUCCAUUUUCGUGUCAUUU
rnacentral:lncRNA from 1 species